ensembl:lncRNA
GAAGCUUCUUACGGAGCCACUCCUUAGUUGCCCUGGCUGUGUUUCGGGUCGUUGUCAUGUUGGAAGACCCAGCCAUGACCCAUCUGCAAUGCUCUUACUGAGGGAAGGAGGUUGUUGGCCAAGAUCUCACGAUACAUGGCCCCAUCCAUCCUCCCCUCAAUACGGUGUAGUCGUCCUGUCCCCUUUGCAGAAAAGCAUCCCCAAAGAAUGAUGUUUCCACCUCCAUGCUUCAAGGUUGAGAUGGUGUUCUUGGGGUUGUACUCAUCCUUCUUCUUCCUCCAAACACGGCGAGUGGAGUUUAGACCAAAAAGCUCCAUUUUUGUCUCAUCAGACCACAUGACCUUCUCCCAUUCCUCCUCUGGAUAAUCCAGAUGGUCAUUGGCAAACUUCAGACGGGCCUGGACAUGCGCCGGCUUGAGCAGGGGGACCUUUCGUGCGCUGCAGGAUUUUAAUCCAUGACGGCGUAGUGUGUUACUAAUGGUUUUCUUUGAGACUGUGGUCCCAGCUCUCUUCAGGUCAUUGACCAGUUCCUGCCAUGUAGUUCUGGGCUGAUCCUUCACCUUCCUCAUGAUCAUUGAUGCCCCACGAGGUGAGAUCUUGCAUGGAGCCCCAGACCGAGGGUGAUUGACCGUCAUCUUGAACUUCUUCCAUUUUCUAAUAAUUGCACCAACAGUUGUUGCCUUCUCACCAAGCUGCUUGCCUAUUGUCCCAGCCUUGUGCAGGUCUACAUGUUUUUCCCUGAUGUCCUUACACAGCUCUCUGGUCUUGGCCACUGUGGAGAGUUUGGAGUCUGUUUGAGUGUGUGGACAGGUGUCUUUUAUACAGGUAAUGAGUUCAAACAGGUGCAGUUAAUACAGGUAAUGAGUGGAGAACAGGAGGGCUUCUUCAAGAAAAACUAACAGGUCUGUGAGAGCUGGAAUUCUUACUGGUUGGUAGGUGAUCAAAUACUUAUGUCAUGCAAUAAAAUGCUAAUUAAUUACUUAAAAAUCAACAAUGUGAUUUUCUGGAUUUUUGUUUUAGAUUCCGUCUCUCACAGUUGAAGUGUAUCUAUGAUAAAACAAUUACAGACCUCUACAUGCUUUGUAAGUAGGAAAACCUGCAAAAUCGUCGGUGUAUCAAAUACUUGUUCUCCCCACUGUAUGUCCAGGUCAUGACAACAAACCCCGUGACCACCUGGUAAGUAUCUAUAGACAAAUAGCCACACAUAUCUUCCAUUGAUGACAUCCAUUCAUGAUUAUUAAAGUCAAGUUAGGAGUCCGCCCAGUUUAAUAAUCAAGUACAAGGUUAAAUUCGGCAUACAUACUACAACUUAACCAGCUUCCAUACAGCAAAAUAAGAACGGAUUUCCUCCUAUAGGGGAAUAGAGCACCAUGGACUCUGUGACAAAGCUCAUGGGUGAUCAGAGAUUUAUGCCAGAUUCUACAAUCAGGUUUUAUGCUUGAAUUUUAGUCUCCCAAUUGUCUUUUCUCUCUUCCAGGUCCCUCCCUGCUCUCCCUCGACUCCCAUAAACACCUGUGUCCCCCCAUCCCACUCACGUGCUCCUUCACCUACUCCUCACCCAAUCUUGGCAGCAAGGUGGGGUCCUGACUGGGUCCUUCAUUCCCUUACUAUGAUGAAUUCAAGCAGUUUGGGAUCCAAUUCGGGAAAGUCGCAUUCCUAGUCGUAAUGCUAGUGAGUUACCGCCACUGGUAUCCAAAAGUUAUUUCCGGCUGCAAAGUUGCGUCGGAGCUAGAAGCAGAUCUGCCAUAUCUGUCGGCGC